rnacentral:pre_miRNA from 1 species
GAACCACUCAUAGGGCUUCUCUUACUUGGCAUGCAAUGGUGCUUCUAUAUACUUGCUCCAAUGACAUGCCAAAGGAGAGUUGCCCUAUGAGUGAUUU